rnacentral:rRNA from 1 species
AUUGAACGCUGGCGGCAUGCUUUACACAUGCAAGUCGAACGGCAGCACGGGGGCAACCCUGGUGGCGAGUGGCGAACGGGUGAGUAAUGCAUCGGAACGUGCCCUGUCGUGGGAUAACACAUCGAAAGAUGUGCUAAUACCGCAUACGACCUGAGGGUGCAAGCGGGGGACCGUAAGGCCUCGCGCGGUAGGAGCGGCCGAUGUCUGAUUAGAGAGUUGGUGGGGGAAAGGCCUACCAAGGCGACGAUCAGUAGCUGGUCUGAGAGGACGACCAGCCACACUGGGACUGAGACACGGCCCAGACUCCUACGGGAGGCAGCAGUGGGGAAUUUUGGACAAUGGGGGCAACCCUGAUCCAGCCAUGCGGCGUGCGGGAAGAAGGCCUUCGGGUUGUAAACCGCUUUUGGCAGGAACGAAACGGUGCGGGCGAAUACCCUGUGCUAAUGACGGUACCUGCAGAAUAAGCACCGGCUAACUACGUGCCAGCCGCCGCCGUAACAC